GGAAUUUUGGGGGACACGUGACCAGGCCUGCCCUAUUGGGGAGGAGCACCCACUCCCACCAGCAUGACUGGUCAGGGUGGCACGGGGCCAGGGACGGCCAGCAUCCGGGCUAGGACUCCAGUACUCUUGACGCAGGUGGCUAGGCUGGCAGGAGGUGAGGUGGGAGCUGCCAGGCCCCUUUUGUCACCACGGGAGCUGCCGGUGCAUGAAGCCAUCCAGAGGCAGCCAAGAGAUGGCACCAGAGAUUCCUGGCGCCACAGCCCCUGGACUUGGCUGUGCCCGACGCCAGGGACAGGAGCCAAUAAAUCCCCAUGAGCCUUCGGGUCCUCGUCUGACAGUCAUGACCGCAGCAGCCGGGUGUGAGGGCAGGGCUGGGUAUUCGGAGACCUUCAGAAGCCUGGUCACGGAGGGCCUGCCCAGGGACCCCCCUGCCUCUCCCCCCAGGCCCCACGGCGGCAGAGACUCACAGGCAAAGAACUGCCAGGGCUGGUAGGUGCGGCCGAAGUCCAUGGACCGCUCCAGCACCCAGAGGUCCGGCCGGGACAGGGGCCCUGGACAGCUGUCCUCGAGGGCCUGGUGGCUGCACAGAUGGUCACAGGAAGGGAAGCCCGCGCUGGAGGACUCCCAUCUGUCUCUGACCUGGUCGCGGCUCCCAGGGCCACACCGGCCGCCCUCGCCAUGACCCGGAGCGAGCGCAGACCCCUGGCUUCGGGACCGCCCUUCCCCCUCCACGCCCCGCUCAGCUCAGCUGCCAGUGCUGACCUUUCCGCUGCUACAUGGUUCUGUGCAGAAAGAAAAAAAAAAGUCUUUUAAAGCAAAAGCCAAACAAAAGCUGCCUGAGUUAUUUUUAAAAAUCGGCUAUUUUGGGGCAGGCACGUCUCCAGGACGGCAGCCGGACCCGCCUCUCAGCCACUGCACCCUCCAGUCCCCACUACCCAGCUUGCCCUGGGAGGGCCACGGUUCCCAGAGGAGGCCUCUGCCCGGUGACCACUGCCUCACAGGGGGUGGGCAAGAGCCCCAGGAGUACGGGGCCCAGGACCCAGGGCCCAGGCCGGCUCCAGGCUUCAGGGGUUGUGCGGCCCUGGAGCGGACACUUCCCCUUCCUGGGCACAGGGCAGUGGGAAGAGCUGCAGAGAGGGGCAUCAGGAUAAAAUGCCUUUCAUGAGGGCAUGAAGGUUUGAGCGCCCUGGGAGGGAGGACGCCAGCUGCUCCUGGAGGGCAGCAGCCACCCCGCAGAGACGCUGAGAGGCCCCCACUGGAGCUGCCCCACUCACUGGCGCUCCGAAGGCAAAGCUGCGGAGGGGACUGAG
rnacentral:lncRNA from 1 species